rnacentral:rRNA from 1 species
AAUCCCCGGCUUACCUGGAACGCAUUGAAACGGCAGGCUGAGUCUGUAGAGGGGGUAGAUUCCAGGGUAGCGGUGAAAUGCGUAGAGAUCGGAGGAAUACCGGUGCGAAGGCGGCCCCCUGGACAAAGACUGACGCUCAGGUGCGAAAGCGUGGGAGCAAACAGGAUUAGAUACCCUGGUAGUCCACGCCGUAAACGAUGUCGACUUGGAGGUUGUUCCCUUGAGGAGUGGCUUCCGGAGCUAACGCGUUAAGUCGACCGCCUGGGGAGUACGGCCGCAAGGUUAAAACUCAAAUGAAUUGACGGGGGCCCGCACAAGCGGUGGAGCAUGUGGUUUAAUUCGAUGCAACGCGAAGAACCUUACCUACUCUUGACAUCCACGGAAUUUGGCAGAGAUGCCUUAGUGCCUUCGGGAACCGUGAGACAGGUGCUGCAUGGCUGUCGUCAGCUCGUGUUGUGAAAUGUUGGGUUAAGUCCCGCAACGAGCGCAACCCUUAUCCUUUGUUGCCAGCGAUUCGGUCGGGAACUCAAAGGAGACUGCCGGUGAUAAACCGGAGGAAGGUGGGGAUGACGUCAAGUCAUCAUGGCCCUUACGAGUAGGGCUACACACGUGCUACAAUGGCGCAUACAAAGAGAAGCGACCUCGCGAGAGCAAGCGGACCUCACAAAGUGCGUCGUAGUCCGGAUCGGAGUCUGCAACUCGACUCCGUGAAGUCGGAAUCGCUAGUAAUCGUGGAUCAGAAUGCCACGGUGAAUACGUUCCCGGGCCUUGUACACACCGCCCGUCACACCAUGGGAGUGGGUUGCAAAAGAAGUAGGUAGCUUAACCUUCGGGAGGGCGCUUACCACUUUGUGAUUCAUGACUGGGGUGAAGUCGUAACAAGGUAACCGUAGGGGAACCUGCGGCUGGACACCCUCCC